UCUUUAUGGAGAACGGAGAACCAACAGAAACAGAUCAGAUGGAACAUAAUGAUGGACGCACACCAUUGACAAACAUCUCAAACACCAUUACUAUAGCUGAUGAAAAUGGAUCGAAAAGGCUUGGUCCAAAUGUCGAUGCUAAGGAACGUAAGAGGCAAAGGGAAAGGGAAAGAUAUGCCGCGAUGACCGUUGAACAAAAAAACGAGAAAAGUAGAAAACGUCGUGAAGCAAGCCAACGAAAUAAAGGACCUCCUAUACAAACAGAGGGAUCUACAGUUAGUCUUUCAGAUGGCUGUAGCACAAUUGAUUUCACAAACUUUGCAACACAAGUUCCAAAUGUGAAUCGAGAUGAUGAUAGCGAUUGGUUGCAUAGGAAUGAGACAUUCAAGUCAGACGAUGUUUUCACAACAAGAGACCUUCUGACACCAGGUUUUUGUCCCGCGAGAAUGGAAUCUCUAUUUGUAGGCUUGUCUCAUAACAAGCCAAAAAAAUCGGUGGCAACCGCAAUAGUUCGAGAAGACUAUAUUUGCACGCAAGGUGAUCUUGCUCUCAUCGAUUUUAUCAAGGAAAUCCCUUGUGAACCAAGGGUAGAAGUCGUUCUUAUUGAUGAUGCCUUCGUUGAAAGGAAGUGGAUGGAGUGUUUAUUUCAGCCGAGCGCAUAUUUAGGUGACGAGGUUAUAGACUGUUACAUAAAUUUGAUAAAAGCUCAAAAGCAUCUAAAGUGCCGAUCUGGAGGUCGCGUUCACAUAGAAAAUGCUUUCCAGUUCAAUUUCCUGAAGCGAGAUGGUGAUCUUGAAAUUAAAACAGAGGAGCUAUAUCCAAUUAAAGACAUGACACACAUAUGUAGCGCUGAACGAAGGGUGUUACUUUACCUAGACCAUGACAUGGUGUUUAUUCCGAUAAACAUCUGAGAGACGCAUUGGUAUCUUGCUGUGAUCCAUGCAAGAAAUAUGGAGAUACAAGUGCUCGAUUCACUUGGUACUUCACAAGACCGCAAAGACCUCACUGACUCUAUUAAAGGACUGCAAAGACAAAUAGAUAUGAUAUCUCAACGUAAGGAGUUAAAAGACCACAGGUGGCCAGACCUCCAAGUUGCUUCUUGGCCGCUCAGAGAAAUAGACAUGGGAUAUGCAAAGCAGACAGAUAGCUCUUCAUGUGGCCUCUUUCUUUUGAACUAUAUCGAAUACUGGACAGGGGAUGAACUGUCUGACAGUUUUACCCAGGAUGACAUGUCACACUUUAGGAAAAAAAUGGCUGCUAUAUUACUAUCUUCAGACCUGAAUAAGAGAAGGGGGUGUCUGUUAUACAAAAAUGAAAAAGAAGUUGACUCUGGAAGCCCAUCUGAUGUUGAGAUAUUAGAAAACCCAACAGAUUCUAAUAAGAGGAAACUACUCCACGUGCUUGAUGAUAGCGAAGUGGUGUUUGAAGAUGAGGAAGGCCCUAUUACUCAAGCAGACUUGCAAAGGUGGUUUGUUGAUGAUUGAGAUAAAAGAGCUCCUGUAAAAGUCUCUAACGAUGGUUGCACCAAUGACUUUUUAAUGGUUGGUCUUUCCACAAAGGACAUGCCAGUGACCAAAGCCGAUUCAAUAGAUGUUUUAUGUGAUUAUAUCAUGGCAAUAGAAGACGAUACGACACUAGAGAGAACAUGGGUGCGAAGUUUCAAUCCUUUUAAGAUAGAAAUAUCUGUCAAAGACCUGCAAAACAUAUUAACGACAACUCAAGAUAUGAUUCUAAGAUGUUUUGAUAUGGCUAUUCGGCUGCUUGCCAAUAAAGAGUCACGUAAACCGAAAGAAGAAAUCAUAAAUAAUAGAAAGCAUUAUAUGGACAUGCGUUUUUGGAGAAUGGUUGGUUUUGGUAAAAUACCAAAGUACCAUCAGGAUCCUACAACAGAAGAGUUGGCCAAAACACUAGAUUGUUGGCCAUCAAUGAAUUAUUAUAUCACGGGUUGUAGAUAUGUUCUCAUGCCAUGGAAAUUCAAUGGAUGUCACGCCCUUUUCGUAAUAGAUCAUGUUAAAAAGCAUGUGACUUUUAUCGAUUUUACACCGACUUAAGAUUGGUGUAAACACAUGCCAUACAAGAGGUUCGCGGAAGCGAUUAUCAUGGCCUCAAAAAAAUAUAAGAUUGCUUACAGCAAGAAACGUUCUGGAUGGACGGAGGAUAUCUUUAAGUGGGAACAUACAAUUCAGACUGGUGUUCCAAUUGACUUAAGAGGGUUUAAUACCAGCUACCUCGUUCUACAAGCUAUGGCCAUGUGGGGGAAUGACAGACGACUGAAAUUUGUUGGGGAUGCAAAAACUCUUCGAAGAAACUUUGUGAUUGAUCUUUUAAGUUAUGAGGACAAUUCGUGCCGAUAUGCCAUCCCUGCAAACAUACAACAAAGACUUGUCGAUAUCGCUAGAAAGGAUUAGCUGAUUAGUGAACAGUUGUCGACACAUUUGUCUGUAACUAAUUUGUGUGAUAUUGAUAAUGUUUUCCAAUAUAUCAGUGCAAACUAUGAUAUUGAAUGAAAUAGUUUUUAUAUGAAUCUCUUUUGAAGCCAUUGAGAUUCCCAACACUUAACUAGCUUCUUGAAGGAUUCUUGUUU